UACGUAGGGGGCGAGCGUUGUCCGGAGUUACUGGGCGUAAAGGGCAUGUAGGCGGUCAGCGAAGUUUAUGGUGACAGGGGAGGGCUUCACCCUGCCAGGGCCGUGAAAACUGGUUGACUAGAGGGCCAGAGAGGGACAUGGAAUUCCGGGUGGAGCGGUGAAAUGCGUAGAGAUCCGGACGAACACCAAAGGCGAAGGCAGUGUCCUGGCUGGUGACUGACGCUGAGGUGCGAAAGCCAGGGGAGCGAACGGG
rnacentral:rRNA from 1 species